GACGAACGCUGGCGGCGUGCUUAACACAUGCAAGUCGAACGGAAAGGCCCUGCUUUUGUGGGGUGCUCGAGUGGCGAACGGGUGAGUAACACGUGAGUAACCUGCCCUUGACUUUGGGAUAACUUCAGGAAACUGGGGCUAAUACCGGAUAGGAGCUCCUGCUGCAUGGUGGGGGUUGGAAAGUUUCGGCGGUUGGGGAUAGACUCGCGGCUUAUCAGCUUGUUGGUGGGGUAGUGGCUUACCAAGGCUUUGACGGGUAGCCGGCCUGAGAGGGUGACCGGCCACAUUGGGACUGAGAUACGGCCCAGACUCCUACGGGAGGCAGCAGUGGGGAAUAUUGCACAAUGGGCGGAAGCCUGGUGCAGCAACGCCGCGUGCGGGAUGACGGCCUUCGGGUUGUAAACCGCUUUCGCCUGUGACGAAGCGUGAGUGACGGUAAUGGGUAAAGAAGCACCGGCUAACUACGUG
rnacentral:rRNA from 1 species